rnacentral:rRNA from 1 species
UACACAUGCAAGUCGAACGAAGGCUUCGGGCCUUAGUGGCGCACGGGUGAGUAACGCGUGGGAACCUGCCCUUUGGUUCGGAAUAACUCCGGGAAACUGGAGCUAAUACCGGAUGAGCCCUGUGGUUGUGGAGAUCAUAGGGGAAAGAUUUAUCGCCGAAGGAGGGGCCCGCGUCCGAUUAGGUAGUUGGUGAGGUAACGGCUCACCAAGCCGACGAUCGGUAGCUGGUCUGAGAGGAUGAUCAGCCACACUGGGACUGAGACACGGCCCAGACUCCUACGGGAGGCAGCAGUGGGGAAUAUUGGACAAUGGGCGCAAGCCUGAUCCAGCAAUGCCGCGUGAGUGAUGAAGGCCUUAGGGUUGUAAAGCUCUUUCGCACGUGACGAUGAUGACGGUAACGUGAGAAGAAGCCCCGGCUAACUUCGUGCCAGCAGCCGCGGUAAUACGAAGGGGGCUAGCGUUGUUCGGAAUUACUGGGCGUAAAGGGCGCGUAGGCGGCUGUUCAAGUCAGGCGUGAAAUCCCCGGGCUUAACCUGGGAAUUGCGUUUGAGACUGAGCGGCUUGAGUUCGGGAGAGGUGAGUGGAAUUCCCAGUGUAGAGGUGAAAUU